CAACUACUCCCUCCGUCCGGAAUUACUUGUCAUCAAAAUGGAUGUGUCUAGAACUAAAAUACAUCUAGAUACAUCCAUUUCAAUGACAAGUAUUUUCGGACGGAGGCAGUACAAG
rnacentral:pre_miRNA from 1 species